GGAAGGGCGGCGUUCCCCGGUGGGGCGGCCGGUCUUCAAAACCGGAGGGGGCCGUCAGUCGGUCCCCGGUGGGUUCGACUCCCAUUCCCUUCC
rnacentral:tRNA from 1 species